UACGUAGAGGGCAAGCGUUGUCCGGAAUCAUUGGGCGUAAAGAGCGCGUAGGCGGCCCGAUAAGUCCGCUGUGAAAGUCAAGGGCUUAACCCUUGAAUGCCGGUGGAAACUGUCGGGCUAGAGUCCGGAAGAGGCGAGUGGAAUUCCUGGUGUAGCGGUGGAAUGCGCAGAUAUCAGGAGGAACACCAAUAGCGAAGGCAGCUCGCUGGGACGGUACUGACGCUAAGGCGCGAAAGCGUGGGGAGCGAACAGG
rnacentral:rRNA from 1 species